AGGAAAAGAGUAGAUCUACAGUUAAAGUUAUGAAUCUCUAAGCUCAAAUGUAGCACCACAGUGCAUGAAUCACAUAACUAAAGAUGAAUUUGUGUUCAGAUGAAGAUUAUCAACCUUUUGGAACCAAAAAAGUGAAGAAACAGUGGUGGUUUGAAAUUCCGGCACGGUGGUUUUGGAAUUCCGGCGGUGGUUUCGGUCAAGCUCGGUUCAGUUGAAAGAGAAGCAUGGAUGAAAUCUUGAAGAUUAUUGAGCUUGGAAGAUUCAAAGGAAGACAUGAGCAUGGACAUGGAGAAAUAUUGAAGAAAAUGGUGUGGACUUGGAAUAUUUUGAAUUUUUCCUUAUGUAAACAUAAUGAUGUAACUUUGAGAAUCCGUCCACCUUGUAAUUUGGAAUGAGUUAUGAACUUGAAUGGACUUUCUUGGAUUUGAAGCUUCGAAA